CCGACGUGGGCUGGGGUAAAGGGGAGAAGGGCAGAGAGAGGAACUCACGCACCGAGACGUGAGAAGAGGCAGACAAAGUGUGCUGGGGCUCUUCCAUCACCUGGCUUCAUCCAGAUAGAGCUGGGCACCAGCAAGAACCAAAACAGAAAAAUCAGGAGACUCAAGGGCCAGAGUUUGUGAGUUGUGAGUUGUACAUAUAUGAUCAACACCACGUAAGUUGUUUAAAAUAAGCUUUCUGCUCUCUGAAUUAUAUAAUCGGGUAUUUAAAAGAAGAAAACAAAUACAAAAAAAAAUUUACCCCCAUGCAGAGUCCAUCUAAUCAUACAUAGCAGCCAUUGAGCUCCCAUA
rnacentral:lncRNA from 1 species